UAUGAUGAGACAAGUUAUAAAGACAACU
rnacentral:piRNA from 1 species